ACGACAAAAAUGCAAAGGUGGCGAGCCGCCCGCGACAUGUAUCAAACCUGAUCGUUCCUGUUAAAAAGCAUGUUUAAACACGAAUAUCAAAGGUGAGCGGCGGCGAUCCUUUGUGCCGUGCCGCCGCUGUCUGGUUUAAACAUGCUCCUGGGCUUGCACGAACUUGUCGGUAACGCGGCGACGCCCGCGACGUGCACCCAGGACAGGAACGAUCUUGUUUGCGCGGCCCGCCUAUAUAAGGACGACUCCUUUCGAGACGUCCUUAGUGUGUCAAUGAACGUCAUUAUGGAAGCGUCGUAAUUAUCCUUUUACGUAUCAAUGUAUCGUCAGAGUGUGUUAGUGUCGAUUAAGUAGUCGCGUAAAGUCAAUCCACUACGGUGUUAACAUCAUUUGUGUAACCUAUGGAAUAAAGUAUUGAGUAAAAUCAG